UGUGCCAAGGUAGCAUAAUCAUUAGCCUUUUAAUUGAAGGUUGGUAUGAAUGAAUCGACGAGAGAGAGCUCUUUUUUAACCUAUUCUUAAAAAAUUUAAUGACAAAAGUGAAAACACUUUUUUUUAUUUAGAAAGACGAUAAGACCCUAUAAAACUUUAUUAAUAAAUAAGUUUAAAUACCAAGAGAUAUAAUCAAUCUUAUCUUUAAUUAUGCUGGGGCGGCAAAUCUUAUUAUCACAGCUCACCCCAAACAUUUUGCUUUGAAUCAAUCAACCUUAUUCAAAAACUAAUAAAAGUUACUUUAGGGAUAACAGCGUAAUUCUUCUUUAGAGUUCUUAUCGCAGAAAGAGAUUUCGACCUCGAUGUUGAAUUGUUUAGCUUAAAAGAGCAG
rnacentral:rRNA from 1 species